UGGGGAAUAUUGGACAAUGGGCGCAAGCCUGAUCCAGCCAUGCCGCGUGAGUGAUGAAGGCCCUAGGGUUGUAAAGCUCUUUCACCGGUGAAGAUAAUGACGGUAACCGGAGAAGAAGCCCCGGCUAACUUCGUGCCAGCAGCCGCGGUAAUACGAAGGGGGCUAGCGUUGUUCGGAUUUACUGGGCGUAAAGCGCACGUAGGCGGACUUUUAAGUCAGGGGUGAAAUCCCGGGGCUCAACCCCGGAACUGCCUUUGAUACUGGAAGUCUUGAGUAUGGUAGAGGUGAGUGGAAUUCCGAGUGUAGAGGUGAAAUUCGUAGAUAUUCGGAGGAACACCAGUGGCGAAGGCGGCUCACUGGACCAUUACCGACGCUGAGGUGCGAAAGCGUGGGGAGCAAAACAGGAUUAGAUACCCUGGUAGUCCACGCCGUAAACGAUGAAUGUUAGCCGUUGGGGAGUUUACUCUUCGGUGGCGCAGCUAACGCAUUAAAACAUUCCGCCUGGGGAGUACGGUCGCAAGA
rnacentral:rRNA from 1 species